rnacentral:rRNA from 1 species
UGCAAGUCGAGCGGAUGAAGGGAGCUUGCUCCUGGAUUCAGCGGCGGACGGGUGAGUAAUGCCUAGGAAUCUGCCUGGUAGUGGGGGAUAACGUCCGGAAACGGGCGCUAAUACCGCAUACGUCCUGAGGGAGAAAGUGGGGGAUCUUCGGACCUCACGCUAUCAGAUGAGCCUAGGUCGGAUUAGCUAGUUGGUGGGGUAAAGGCCUACCAAGGCGACGAUCCGUAACUGGUCUGAGAGGAUGAUCAGUCACACUGGAACUGAGACACGGUCCAGACUCCUACGGGAGGCAGCAGUGGGGAAUAUUGGACAAUGGGCGAAAGCCUGAUCCAGCCAUGCCGCGUGUGUGAAGAAGGUCUUCGGAUUGUAAAGCACUUUAAGUUGGGAGGAAGGGCAGUAAGUUAAUACCUUGCUGUUUUGACGUUACCAACAGAAUAAGCACCGGCUAACUUCGUGCCAGCAGCCGCGGUAAUACGAAGGGUGCAAGCGUUAAUCGGAAUUACUGGGCGUAAAGCGCGCGUAGGUGGUUCAGCAAGUUGGAUGUGAAAUCCCCGGGCUCAACCUGGGAACUGCAUCCAAAACUACUGAGCUAGAGUACGGUAGAGGGUGGUGGAAUUUCCUGUGUAGCGGUGAAAUGCGUAGAUAUAGGAAGGAACACCAGUGGCGAAGGCGACCACCUGGACUGAUACUGACACUGA